AUACAUGCAAGUCACAUGAGACAUAAAAUGCACCUCCCGAUGAUCAAUUAAGUACAGCCAUCAGCAUCAGUGAAACACUGAAUAAGUUCCUUUUUAUCAUAGAGAAGAGCAAAGAGACAAUGGAAGACACCCUCAAGAGGCAUUUGUUAAACGUAUUUCGUCUCAAGGAAUAUAACCUAGACGGGACAUGGAAGACACCCUGAAGAAAAAAAGAGAGGAAAUAUAAUGGAAGGGAAGGCACCCUCCCUCCUUAAGGCAAUACGUUUCAUUUCUUUUGUUGCCAUGACUCUUCAGUCUAGAAGAGAAGCCAGGGCGUUAAUCUCUGGGGCGAGAUUUGGUUGAAGACCGUCACCGACGCUCCACUCCUCUAGCAUGGCUCCAUGAAAAUGACAUGAAAGAUCCGAGCAGGUUGAUGGCAUCUCGAUGAGUCCGUCCUGGCCACGAACUCCAUUACUAUCUUCUCGAGGUUCAUCCAUGCCAACUUGCAAGAAAUCAUCGUCC
rnacentral:lncRNA from 1 species